rnacentral:rRNA from 1 species
UUCCAGACUCCUACGGGAGGCAGCAGUGAGGAAUAUUGGUCAAUGGUCGGGAGACUGAACCAGCCAAGCCGCGUGAGGGAUGAAGGUACAGAGUAUCGUAAACCUCUUUUGUCAGGGAACAAAGGCGGGGACGCGUCCCCGGAUGAGUGUACCUGAAGAAAAAGCAUCGGCUAACUCCGUGCCAGCAGCCGCGGUAAUACGGAGGAUGCGAGCGUUAUCCGGAUUUAUUGGGUUUAAAGGGUGCGUAGGCGGAAGCCCAAGCCAGGGGUAAAUCCGGGGGGCGCACCCUCGGUCCGCCGUUGAAACUGGCGUUCUUGAGUGGGCGAGAAGUAUGCGGAAUGCGUGGUGUAGCGGUGAAAUGCAUAGAUAUCACGCAGAACUCCGAUUGCGAAGGCAGCAUACCGGCGCCCAACUGACGCUGAAGCACGAAAGCGUGGGUAUCGAACAGGAUUAGAUGCCCCGGUA